ACAAGCAAGCUAUGUUUGCCCACAGAGGUGUACGACCAAUUGUAAUCUCAAGGCAUUAAUUGCUCAACGAGAUCCAGGAAUGAAAGAAAUCAGAGCAAUAUCUAGAAACAGAAAGGUCUGCCUGGAAAUUCUAAGAAUCUGGUCCUUUAGGUCUACUUUGAUAGGUCUGUGUCUGUCUGGAAGGUAAGCAAAGGCUGAGACUGGUUAUCAGACAACCACAAAGCUUUCAGCUUCAAGCUAGUCAGCGACAUGGGAAGAUGUAUCAACCUAAUGGAGAAAACAAGGAAUUGCUUUAAGAUUUCUUAUCCAACUAUGCAGAACAAAGCAAAGCAUUAAAGAAGUUUGCAGCA